rnacentral:rRNA from 1 species
GAUGAACGCUAGCUAUAGGCUUAACACAUGCAAGUCGAGGGGAAACGGCAUUAUGUGCUUGCACAUUUUGGACGUCGACCGGCGCACGGGUGAGUAUCGCGUAUCCAACCUUCCCUCCACUCGGGGAUACCCCGUUGAAAGACGGCCUAAUACCCGAUGUUGUCCACAUAUGGCAUCUGACGUGGACCAAAGAUUCAUCGGUGGAGGAUGGGGAUGCGUCUGAUUAGCUUGUUGGUGCGGGUAACGGCCCACCAAGGCGACGAUCAGUAGGGGUUCUGAGAGGAAGGUCCCCCACAUUGGAACUGAGACACGGUCCAAACUCCUACGGGAGGCAGCAGUGAGGAAUAUUGGUCAAUGGACGUAAGUCUGAACCAGCCAAGUAGCGUGCAGGAUUGACGGCCCUAUGGGUUGUAAACUGCUUUUGUUGGGGAGUAAAGUGAGGCACGCGUGCCUUUUUGCAUUUACCCUUCGAAUAAGGACCGGCUAAUUCCGUGCCAGCAGCCGCGGUAAUACGGAAGGUCCAGGCGUUAUCCGGAUUUAUUGGGUUUAAAGGGAGUGUAGGCGGUCUGUUAAGCGUGUUGUGAAAUUUAGGUGCUCAACAUCUACCUUGCAGCGCGAACUGGCGGACUUGAGUGCACGCAACGUAUGCGGAAUUCAUGGUGUAGCGGUGAAAUGCUUAGAUAUCAUGACGAACUCCGAUUGCGAAGGCAGCGUACGGGAGUGUUACUGACGCUUAAGCUCGAAGGUGCGGGUAUCGAACAGG